CAGCAGCUCAGACACUCAGCAGAGUCUUCAGGAUGCAGCAGGUUGUCUCUGAAGAGUGACUGGUCCAGAAUAACUCCUCCAUACUUCAGUGGUGAACCUGGACCUUCAGACUCAAAGUAAGAAACUCUGACACUCAGAGAGUCU